rnacentral:rRNA from 1 species
GAUGAACGCUGGCGGCGUGCCUAAUACAUGCAAGUCGAGCGAACAGACGAGGAGCUUGCUCCUCUGACGUUAGCGGCGGACGGGUGAGUAACACGUGGAUAACCUACCUAUAAGACUGGGAUAACUUCGGGAAACCGGAGCUAAUACCGGAUAAUAUAUUGAACCGCAUGGUUCAAUAGUGAAAGACGGUUUUGCUGUCACUUAUAGAUGGAUCCGCGCCGCAUUAGCUAGUUGGUAAGGUAACGGCUUACCAAGGCAACGAUGCGUAGCCGACCUGAGAGGGGGAUCGGCCACACUGGAACUUGGGAAAGGUCCAGACUCCUACGGGAGGCAGCAGGAGGGAAUCUUCCGGAAUGGGCGAAAGCCUGACGGAGGAACGCCGCGUGGGUGAUGAAGGUCUUCGGAUCGGAAAACUCUGUUAUUAGGGAAGAACAAAUGUGGAAGUAACUAUGGACGGCUUGACGGUACCUAAUCAGAAAGCCACGGCUAACUACGUG